AGAUCCUGACAAAGAACACCUGUAGAGACAGGAGAAUACAUGGAAAUCUGGAAGAAAGGGAGAAGAUGGAAAACCUGAAACAUCUUCACCUUAGGAGGGCAAACAACAUGAUGGUCCUUUAAGAAAUCACUUCAAGGCUGACACCUUACUGGUC
rnacentral:lncRNA from 1 species